CAUAAGCAUUCGCCAAAAGCUAGAGAAACCGCCCAAAUAAAGAAAAAGAAACAGAGACCAUCUUUAAUGGUAUCCUUGAGAGAAAGAAACUCGGUUUCCAUUUGGGAGCAAUACAUACAUGGGCGCCAGUGAGAGAGGAUGACCCAAGAGAAAGAUCACCUCGUUUUGCUUUGUGGCUAAUUUGGGCGGCAAAGUGGAUUGAGAGAGAGAGAGAGCUUCCAUGGACGACGAGCAACUGCUGCGCGUGGUUCAGGAAGACUACUUUAAUCAGCACCACUCCUCUCUCCUCCAAUCCCUUCCUCUCCAUGUUUCAUUUGACUAUGGAUGUCAUCUACUAGUAAAAGCCAUCCAAGAGCUCCGAGGAAAGAAAGAGAGUCUUGUGACAGUUGGCAUUGGUGGUCCCAGUGGUUCUGGUAAAACAAGCCUGGCAGAGAAGGUAGCAUCUGUAUUUGGUUGUGUGGUCAUGCCGAUGGAUAACUAUCGCGAUGGUGUUGACGAUAAGAAUGACUUCGAGUCCAUUGAUUUUGACACUUUGAUCCAAAAUCUUGAGGAUUUGAUGAAGGGCAGUGAUAUAUUAAUGCCUGUGUUUGAUUUUCAAGAGAAAAAGCGCAUUGGUUUAAAGAAAAUUAAAAGUUCCUUACCUGGGGUGGUCAUAGUUGAUGGUACAUAUGCUCUGCAUGCUAAAUUGCGGUCCUUGUUGGAUAUACGAGUGGCAGUGGUUGGAGGUGUUCAUUUUUCUCUCCUCUCGAAAGUUCGGUAUGAUAUUGGAGAUUCUUGUUCAUUGGAUGAUGUCAUUGACAGUAUCUUUCCAUUGUUUCGAAAGCAUAUUGAGCCAGACCUUCAUCAUGCACAGAUCAGAAUAAACAACAGCUUUGUCUCUUCUUUUAGGGAACCAUACUAUAAGCUGAAAUGCCGAUGUGAGUCUCCAAAUGCACUUGCAGCUUUACCUUUUCAUACAAUGGAAUCGCACAAUGAGAAUUUCAUUGAAAUGUACCUUAGACCACCAUCUGCACAUGAGGCAGCGAAGAUCAAUGAUUGGAUAAAGGUUAGGCAGUCUGGUAUCAGAUAUUUUCUGUCACUAGGGGAUCAGAGGAUUGUUGAUAAGAGCUACAUUAUCCGGCCAAAAGCUGAGUUUGAGGUUGGACGGAUGACUCUAGGUGGAUUGCUUGCUCUGGGUUAUACUGUUGUGGUCAGUUUCAAGCGUGCAUCCACUACAAUAAAUACUGGCAAAGUUUCCAUAUCGCUUGAGAGCAUUGACAUUCUUGGUGAGAAGUUUUUGGUGUUGAAGGGAACUGAUAGGAAGGUGAUUGGAGUUGAAGCUUCCACAUUGGGUGUGAAGGGUCCAUGGAUUACAAAGUCAUAUCUGGAAAUGAUUCUAGAACAUAAAGGUGUGCCACGUCUUUGUACGCCUCCCCCAUUGUCCACUACAUCUUCAGCAGGGGAUCCUCGUGAAAGGGGCAUUAUUGUCCCUAAGCCAAUUCGUGUGACUUCAUUUCAGACUCAAAAGAUUUCUGAACUGGUCGAGCCUUGGACUCGGUCUCCAACAAAAUCUGAAAUGGAGCCUGUAGUAGCCCCCAUGAGGUGGCAUUUCAUCUCCCAAGCUGUUGCAGAAUCUUCUGCUUCAAGGUAUGCCAUUCAAUUAGCUCCAAUGCCAGAUUCAUAUGACUUGGGUAGAGGCCUACAUCUUGCUAUUCAAGCUAUCCAGGCACUUUUAGAGGCGAAGGGGCUUCCAAUUAUUGUGGGAAUUGGAGGUCCAAGUGGAUCAGGAAAAACCAGUAUGGCUCAUAAAAUGGCAAAUUUUGUUGGUUGUGAAGUCAUUUCUCUCGAAAGCUACUAUAAAUCAGAACACAUGAGGGACUUGAAAUACGAUGACUUCAGCUCUCUAGAUUUAGCCUUGCUUUUGAAGAAUAUUGAUGAUAUAAGAAAUCGUCGCAGUACAAAAGUUCCCUCAUUUGAUUUUGAAAACUGCACACGGAGUGGUUUCCGAAACCUUGAAGUUUCUGAGGAUUGUGGUGUGGUUAUUUUUGAAGGUGUCUAUGCUUUGCAUCCUGACAUCCGCAAAUCUCUUGAUUUCUGGAUUGCUGUUGUUGGGGGUGUGCAUUCACAUCUUAUUUCCAGAGUUCAUAGGGACAAGAGCAGGGUUGGAAGUCCUAUAUCACAAAAUGAGAUUAUGACGACUGUCUUCCCAAUGUUUCAGCAGCAUAUUGAACCCCAUCUUGUUCAUGCUCAUCUUAAAAUUCGAAAUGAUUUUGAUCCAGUGUAUUCCUCUGAAAGUUCAUUGUUUGUCUUGAAGAGUAAUAAGCAGGUGUCAUAUCAAGAAUUAAUGAAUGUUCUUGAUCCAGAGAAGAUAACCAGUUCUGUUCAACAUUUUACUGAUAUUUACUUGAGGCUUCCUAGGCUGCCUUCAAAUGGCCUGCUAGCAGAAAACGAGUGCAUAAGAGUCAGAAUGUGUGAAGGCAGAUUUGCAUUGUUGAUACGAGAGCCAAUCAGGGAAGGGAACUUUCUUAUGCAACCUAAAGUUGAUUUUGAUAUUAGUGUUAGCACGGUGGCUGGUCUCCUAAACCUUGGGUACCAUGCAGUCUCAUAUAUUGAAGCAUCUGCACAGAUUUACCAAGAUGAUAAGAGGAAAUAUCCACAGUUUUGAAUUGUUUUUUCAGUUAUUUAUUUUUAGAAUUUGGAACAUCAGAGCUUGGCCAUAAACUUCCAUGAAGUUUGUGUUUACUAGCCUCUCUAGCAAAUAGAAGAACUUGUUAUGAGAUGCAAGAUUGCCGAGGGGCAUUUCUCGUAUGGUAUUGUCCUCUCUAUGAAACUGGUAUUGUUGCUUAGCAAACCAUAAGUACUAUGUAAUUCCGAACCUUUCUUGAAUAUGGAGAUGUUUUAUUGUCUGCUCAACCUUCCUACACGUGAAGCAUUUGAUCUGAAGCAUGUAAUUUAGAGUUCCUUCAUUAUUAGCAACUCAUGAAUGAUAGCCAACUUAAACAGGGUUAGAAAGCUGGGGAAUAUGCUUGCCUUAUGGGAUGUCCUUGGAAUUUCCUACACCUUCCCCUUGGAGAAUACUUCUGGAAGACUUGACAGAGAACUCAUACUGUCAAAUUUUUGAAAUUGUUUUGUCAUAGCUUUUGGCAAUAUAAACACUAAUACCAGCUCUCUCCCUUUGCCAUGACGACCUUGACAUUGUUCUUGAUCUCUACUGUCCCUGAUCCAUUUGGAAGUAGUAACCAAUCCCAAUAACUGCCUGUAGAAUGACCUCUUGUUUCUUUCUUUCCAGAUAUCUUGGAAGGUGGCCACCAACUAUAGAUUCCAUAAGAUCCUUCCCAUUCAAUGACCACCAUCCAAGGACACCAUCAUCUAGUGGGCCAUUGUUACGAAGGAGUUCUGCAGCAUCUGACUUGGUUUCAAUAUUUAUACCUUGUAGUUCAGCCUAUAUUUUUUACCCUAGUUCCAUAUCUAUACAUCCAUUUACAGUUUACAGUGGAUUUUCAGCAGUUGUAACACGGAUAUUCCAUAAAUUCUGUUCCAUUUCUUAUUGGGUUCUGGUAAUUUACAUUAUAUUUUUCCAUCUUAAUUCGUUCUACUGUGAAUCAGAAUAUUUGUAUCAUGUUUGUUUCAUGGUCCAAACAAAAACUGGCUGUGUUUAUUACUAAUCACUUGAUUUUAUUUUAGAUAUUGAAUAAUGUCCAAAUGAUCUGACAUAAGCAUCGAUUUAUAGAUAAUACAUGUUUCCUCCAUCAGAUUCUUAUUGAGGUGAAUCAUUUGCAAGAUGUUCCCACUCCAUAUCUUCAAAUCAAGGGUCCAAGUAAAGAAGCUGUUGCUGCAGCAGGAUUAACGCUAAAUCUGGAUGGCUCAUAUACCACAAAGACUUAUUUGGAGAUUAUAUUAGACAGUACGCCAACUUUUGGAAGAGCUCCCACAGGAAUUCAUGGUCAGCAGGCCGCGAGGUUGCAUGAACUUGUGGAGUAUAUUCA